rnacentral:rRNA from 1 species
GACGAACGCUGGCGGCGUGCUUAACACAUGCAAGUCGAACGAAGAGCGAUGGAAGCUUGCUUCUAUCAAUCUUAGUGGCGAACGGGUGAGUAACGCGUAAUCAACCUGCCCUUCAGAGGGGGACAACAGUUGGAAACGACUGCUAAUACCGCAUACGAUCCGACCUCGGCAUCGAGGAUGGAUGAAAGGUGGCCUCUAUUUAUAAGCUAUCACUGAAGGAGGGGAUUGCGUCUGAUUAGCUAGUUGGAGGGGUAACGGCCCACCAAGGCAAUGAUCAGUAGCCGGUCUGAGAGGAUGAACGGCCACAUUGGGACUGAGACACGGCCCAGACUCCUACGGGAGGCAGCAGUAGGGAAUCUUCCGCAAUGGACGAAAGUCUGACGGAGCAACGCCGCGUGAGUGAUGACGGCCUUCGGGUUGUAAAGCUCUGUUAAUCGGGACGAAAGGUCUUCUUGCGAAUAGUUAGAAGAAUUGACGGUACCGGAAUAGAAAGCCACGGCUAACUACGUG